CUGAAGCUUCCUGCAUUUGGAGGAGCUGGACAGAAAAAGAGAAGAAAGAAAAUGUAUUAACAAAGGACUGUCUGUAAAAAGUAGUGAUGCUGGUCUCAUCUUGUCCUGUUGAUCUGAAGCUUCCUGCAUUUGGAGGAGCUGAGACAGAAAAAGAGAAGAAAGAAAAUGUAUUAACAAACGACUGUCUGUAAAAAAUGUAAAUGUUUCCUCUGGCUGUUAAAGAUGCUCCAUUUUGCAUCCCUACAUGAAUAAAAACGAAUGCUGUCUAUGAAAAAAAAACAACAAGUGAAUAAACUGUUUGCAUUACUAA